rnacentral:rRNA from 1 species
AGUGAACGCUGGCGGUAGGCCUAACACAUGCAAGUCGAACGGCAGCACAGGAGAGCUUGCUCUCUGGGUGGCGAGUGGCGGACGGGUGAGGAAUACAUCGGAAUCUACUCUGUCGUGGGGGAUAACGUAGGGAAACUUACGCUAAUACCGCGUACGACCUACGGGUGAAAGCAGGGGACCUUCGGGCCUUGCGCGAUUGAAUGAGCCGAUGUCGGAUUAGCUAGUUGGCGGGGUAAAGGCCCACCAAGGCGACGAUCCGUAGCUGGUCUGAGGGGCUGAUCAGCCACACUGGAACUGAGACUCGGUCCAGACUCCUACGGGAGGCAGCAGUGGGGAAUAUUGGACAAUGGGCGCAAGCCUGAUCCAGCCAUACCGCGUGGGUGAAGAAGGCCUUCGGGUUGUAAAGCCCUUUUGUUGGGAAAGAAAUCCAGCUGGCUAAUACCCGGUUGGGAUGACGGUACCCAAAGAAUAAGCACCGGCUAACUUCGUGCCAGCCGCCGCCGUAA